GAUGAACGCUGGCGGCGUGCUUAACACAUGCAAGUCGAACGGAAGGGCCAGUGCUUGCACUGGUACUCGAGUGGCGAACGGGUGAGUAACACGUGGGUGAUCUGCCCUGCACUUCGGGAUAAGCCUGGGAAACUGGGUCUAAUACCGGAUAGGACAAUGGUUUGGAUUCCGUUGUGGAAAGUUUUUUCGGUGUGGGAUGAGCUCGCGGCCUAUCAGCUUGUUGGUGGGGUAAUGGCCUACCAAGGCGUCGACGGGUAGCCGGCCUGAGAGGGUGUACGGCCACAUUGGGACUGAGAUACGGCCCAGACUCCUACGGGAGGCAGCAGUGGGGAAUAUUGCACAAUGGGCGCAAGCCUGAUGCAGCGACGCCGCGUGGGGGAUGACGGCCUUCGGGUUGUAAACUCCUUUCGCUAGGGACGAAGCGUAUUUGUGACGGUACCUGGAGAAGAAGCACCGGCUAACUACGUG
rnacentral:rRNA from 1 species